rnacentral:rRNA from 7 species
UUGACCUCGAAUCAGGUAGGAAUACCCGCUGAACUUAAGCAUAUCAAUAAGCGGA